rnacentral:lncRNA from 1 species
GGCCCUGUCACAAUCCACCAAUUGUUCUGAAGGCAGAGCGCCUCUGAAGCAGCCCCUGCUGCAGAGGGGCCUGCGAAGAGUCUGAGUCCUCUCCUCCGUGAUUUUCCUGAAAUAUCCCAUUUCUAGGAAGGAACAGCCCACAGGAAACCACACGCCCGCUACUGAAAUGAUGUGCAACAACAGUAGCUAGCUCACUGGAGGCAGAAUAUGCCUGGGACUCUCAGGGGCAUCUCUGUCCUUGUCCCUCCUCUGAGAGCAGACAGAGCUUUACUCGGCAAAACUGGGCAAGGGAAUACCAAGAGGCACCCAAGGGAUCACGUGGGAGUCAAACAUAUUCCUCCAUACCCUCUGGUUUAAAAGCAGCCCUAUCUCCUCCAGACGACCUGGGUCAAUUACCCCCACCAAGAUGGGGGCUCCUUUCCUUACCAACUGGAUGCUGGACACAAAGAGGAUAAGGUGUUCUGGUGGCAGCCACAGCUUAUAACGCAAUGGGACACUUCUGUUGAACAAUGGACCACUGCUGAGCCUAACCUACUUUAUGACUUGGAGUUUCUGGAGAUAAGGUCAUCCCCCCUUCUUCCUGGUACAGAGAGG